rnacentral:rRNA from 1 species
AACAAACGCUGGCGGCGUGCAUAACACAUGCAAGUCUAACGGGAAUGUCGGCUUCGGCUGGCUAGUACCGUGGCGAACGGGUGAGUAACACGUGGGUAAUCUAACCUCGAGUUUGGGAUAACCUUGCGAAAGCGGGGCUAAUACCGAAUAAGACCACGCUUGGUUCGCCAAGUGCGGUAAAAGGCGGCCUCUUCUUGAAAGCUGUCACUUGAGGAUGAGCCCGCGGCCUAUUAGCUAGUUGGUGGGGUAAUGGCCUACCAAGGCGACGAUGGGUAGCCGGCCUGAGAGGGUGUACGGCCACACUGGCACUGAGAUACGGGCCAGACUCCUACGGGAGGCAG